GGAUCCCGCAGCCUCAGCUCCUCUCUGACGCUGCCUUGUGCCUUCACAGGGGGAUCAGUGGCCUUCGAGACCGCACCUGUUUCCUGAGCAAGCAGGCAGGAAACAGACGUUGAAGGAGUACCGCUAAGAGGUGUGCCUUCACCUGCUCCCUGGGAAUCCAUCUUGUCACCAGUGCACACCUGAGGCAGGUAAUACCAUCUACUCUAUCCUCUCCACCCUGGGGCAGGUACUGCCACCCACUCCAGCCUCUGCACACACCUGAGGCAGGUACUGCAUUCCCUCCAUCCUCUCCACCCAGAGGCAGGUACCACCAUCCUCUGCACACACCUGAAGCAGGUAUUUCCACACCUGUCCCGAGGCCAGGAUGCCCCCCGCAGCACCCACCAGGCCUCAGAGUUACUAAGUGCAGCUGUUCCCGCGGCUCUUCCCCCAGGGAAACUUGCCCACCCGCUUCCUACAAUCAGGUCAGACCUCCAGACGCAGGGAGGAGGCCCUGGCAAUGCCCUGGACCCUGCUUCCUGGGGGCACCUGCUGCCUUCCAUCGCCAGAGGUCUCAGGGGGACCCUCAGGUCUACCUUCAGUGUCCAGCUGAUCUUACAGGCGAGGACCUUUAAGGAAGACUUUAGGUGAAAGUUCUCCAGACAUUUCUGGAAAAAUACAAAGUGACAAAUCUGGCCCAGGAGGAAAUAGAAAACUCAAGAUGUGAAAAGCGGGAGAGGAAGACCUCACCCUUCUGCAGAGAGCCCCGAGGCCACACAGUCUGCCGAGGAGCAGGCGAAGGCCCAGAUGCUGCCGACCUCGUUUCACCUUGAAGGACGGGGGUCACUCCCGUUCAAGGUCAGGUAAGGGCUAGAAAAGAAGAGAGGAAAAAGCGUGUAGGCCCACUUUCCUUAUGCCAUCGUAGAAGAUCUUGAACACUGUGUGAAUGAUUCCUAGCUGACGGGCCCCAACAGUGUUGGGGUUUGUGGUUGUUGUGGUACGGGGUGCUCUGCCACAGAGCCACAGCCCAACCCUUCUUAUUUUCUAUUUUGAGGAAGGGUCUUGCUAAGUCACAGGCUGGCCUCAAAUUUGCAAUCCUUUGGCUUCAGGCUCCCAAGCCAUUGGGAUGACAGGUGCCACCACACCUGGCCAACAGUGUUUGGAACAGAGACAAGAACUGCUCAAAUUCAAAAAGACUCCACAUGGUGGCAGGAAUGCAGGGUGACCGGAAUUCUCCACCGUGUAGGUGGGCUGUUUUGGAAAAGACUUGGUGUUUUAUUAUGAAUCUAAACGUUCAAUUACCCCAUGACCCAGCGACCCCACUCCAAGAUGUUUACACGAGAGAAAUAAAAAUGCAUGUCCAGAAAAUGACAAGAAUGUUCAUAAC
rnacentral:lncRNA from 1 species